rnacentral:rRNA from 1 species
UACGGGGGGGGCAAGCGUUGUUCGGAAUUACUGGGCGUAAAGGGCUCGUAGGCGGCCAACUAAGUCAGACGUGAAAUCCCCAGGCUCAACCUGGGAACUGCGUCUGAUACUGGAUGGCUUGAAUCCGGGAGAGGGAUGCAGAAUUCCAGGUGUAGCGGUGAAAUGCGUAGAUAUCUGGAGGAACACCUGCGGCGAAGGCGGGUUGCUGGGCUGACACUGACGCUGAAGCGCGAAAGCUAGGGGAGCGAACGGG